rnacentral:rRNA from 1 species
AAGUACGAUCAUGGCCGUUACCGGUCCGUCGGGCUACACACGUGCUACAAUGGUCGGUACAAAGGGUUGCCAAGCCGCGAGGUGGAGCUAAUCCCAUAAAACCGAUCGUAGUCCGGAUCGCAGUCUGCAACUCGACUGCGUGAAGUCGGAAUCGCUAGUAAUCGUGAAUCAGAAUGUCACGGUGAAUACGUUCCCGGGCCUU